rnacentral:misc_RNA from 1 species
GAAACGCGAUAGUUAAUGUGAAUUGCAGAAUUCAGUGAAUCAUCGAGUCUUUGAACGCACAUUGCGCCCAUAGGUAUUCCUUUGGGCAUGUCUGUUUGAGCGUCAUUACAACCCUCAGCUAACCGCUGGUUUUGAACCUGAACGGGUGACACCGCGCCGGUUUUAAAGUUGUAAGCUCUGCUGGCCGCUCUGCCCAACCAGAACAUAGUAAGCACUACUUGUCCGGGUGAAGCUGAACGGUACGGCCUGAACAAAACCUACCCACUCUCAAGGUUUGACCUCGGAUCAGGCAGGGAUACCCGCUGAACUUAAGC